CACGGGGGGAACGCGAAGAACCUUACCAAGGCUUGACAUGAACCGGAACGGCGCAGAGAUGUGUCGGCCACUUGUGGCCGGUUUACAGGUGGUGCAUGGUUGUCGUCAGCUCGUGUCGUGAGAUGUUGGGUUAAGUCCCGCAACGAGCGCAACCCUCGUUCCAUGUUGCCAGCGGGUUAUGCCGGGGACUCAUGGGAGACUGCCGGGGUCAACUCGGAGGAAGGUGGGGACGACGUCAAAUCAUCAUGCCCCUUAUGUCUUGGGCUUCACGCAUGCUACAAUGGCCGGUACAAAGGGUUGCGAUGCUGUGAGGUGGAGCUAAUCCCAAAAAGCCGGUCUCAGUUCGGAUUGAGGUCUGCAACUCGACCUCAUGAAGUCGGAGUCGUUAGUAAUCGCAGAUCAGCAACGCUGCGGUGAAUACGUUCCCGGGUCUUGUACACACGC
rnacentral:rRNA from 1 species